GACGAACGCUGGCGGCGUGCCUAAUACAUGCAAGUCGAACGAGAGCGACCGGUGCUUGCACUGGUCAAUCUAGUGGCGAACGGGUGAGUAACACGUGGGUAACCUGCCCAUCAGAGGGGGAUAACAUCCGGAAACGGAUGCUAAAACCGCAUAGGUCUUCGAGCCGCAUGGCUUGAAGAGGAAAAGAGGCGCAAGCUUCUGCUGAUGGAUGGACCCGCGGUGCAUUAGCUAGUUGGUGAGGUAACGGCUCACCAAGGCCGUGAUGCAUAGCCGACCCGAGAGGGUGAUCGGCCACAUUGGGACUGAGACACGGCCCAAACUCCUACGGGAGGCAGCAGUAGGGAAUCUUCCGCAAUGGACGCAAGU
rnacentral:rRNA from 1 species